CCUACGGGAGGCAGCAGUGGGGAAUAUUGCACAAUGGGGGAAACCCUGAUGCAGCGACGCCGCGUGAAGGAAGAAGUAUCUCGGUAUGUAAACUUCUAUCAGCAGGGAAGAAAAUGACGGUACCUGACUAAGAAGCCCCGGCUAACUACGUGCCAGCAGCCGCGGUAAUACGUAGGGGGCAAGCGUUAUCCGGAUUUACUGGGUGUAAAGGGAGCGUAGACGGAAGAGCAAGUCUGAUGUGAAAGGCUGGGGCUUAACCCCAGGACUGCAUUGGAAACUGUUUUUCUAGAGUGCCGGAGAGGUAAGCGGAAUUCCUAGUGUAGCGGUGAAAUGCGUAGAUAUUAGGAGGAACACCAGUGGCGAAGGCGGCUUACUGGACGGUAACUGACGUUGAGGCUCGAAAGCGUGGGGAGCAAACAGGAUUAGAUACCCCAGUAGUC
rnacentral:rRNA from 1 species